UCUGUGUGUCGGCGUUACUCAGUCACUAGUUCAGUUCUCAGUCACUAGUCUGGUUGUGUCUGUGUGUCGGGCAUUACUCAGGCACUAGUUUGGUUGUGUCCGUGUGUCGGGUGUUAGUCACUAGUUCAGUUGUGUCCAUGUGUCGGGUGUUACUCAGUCACUAGUUUGGUU